GACGAACGCUGGCGGCGUGCUUAACACAUGCAAGUCGAACGGAAAGGCCCUGCUUUUGUGGGGUUCUCGAGUGGCGAACGCGUGAGUAACACGUGAGUAACCUGCCCUUUACUUUGGGAUAACUUCAGGUAACUUGUGCUAAUACCGUAUAGGAGCUCCUGCUGCAUGGUGGGGGUUGGAUCGUUUCGGCGGUUGGGGAUGUACUCGCGGCUUAUCAGCUUGUUUGUGGGGUAGUGGCUUACCAAGGCUUUGACGGGUAGCCGGCAUGAGAGGGUGACCGGCCACAUGGGGACUGAGAGACGGCCCAGACUCCUACGGGAGGCAGCAGUGGGGAAUAUUGCACAAUGGGCGGAAGCCUGAGGCAGAAACGCCGCGUGCGGGAAGACGGCCUUCGGGGUGUAAACAGCUGUCGCCUGUGACGAAGCGUGAGUGACGGUAAUGGGUAAAGAAGCACCGGCUAACUACGUG
rnacentral:rRNA from 1 species